rnacentral:rRNA from 1 species
GAUGAACGCUGGCGGCGUGCCUAAUACAUGUAAGUCGAGCGAACAGAUGAGGAGCUUGCUCCUCUGACGUUAGCGGCGGACGGGUGAGUAACACGUGGAUAACCUACCUAUAAGACUGGGAUAACUUCGGGAAACCGGAGCUAAUACCGGAUAAUAUAUUGAACCGCAUGGUUCAAUAGUGAAAGACGGUUUUGCCGUCACUUGUAGAUGGAUCCGCGCCGCAUUAGCUAGUUGGUAAGGUAACGGCUUACCAAGGCAACGAUGCGUAGCCGACCUGAGAGGGUGAUCGGCCACACUGGAACUGAGACACGGUCCAGACCCCUACGGGAGGCAGCAGUAGGGAAUCUUCCGCAAUGGGCGAAAGCCUGACGGAGCAACGCCGCGUGAGUGAUGAAGGUCUUCGGAUCGUAAAACUCUGUUAUUGGGGAAGAACAAAUGUGUAAGUAACUAUGCACGUCUUGACGGUACCUAAUCAGAAAGCCACGGCUAACUACGUG